AAAAACUCAAAAAACGAAAUAAUAUAGAAGGGAAUCCCACAGAUCUUCAUUUCUACAUCACGAAGCACAUUACUCACAUUUUCCUUUGUAUUAUUAUUAUUAUUAUUAUUAUUAUUAUUAUUAUUAUUAUAUAAAUAGUAGAAAAUGAGGUACGUUGCGGCUACAGUCCAUCGCCGAACCGAGGCACCAGUUGCGCGUAACGGGGCUUAACGCCUGCGAGUGGCCCUUCUUUUACCAGGGGGCCGAGCGCGCCGCAGCAGAUGCGCACUGAUCUCCGGACAGGAGCCAGUCCAUCUGGCGCCUGACGAGGCAGGGAAAGGCCCGAAUCCCGCUCGGUAGUUCAGCCCAGAGGCGAGAAUUUAGAUCAGCCCCGAGGUUUUCUGGAUGGACCGACUGGGAGCGAUGGGGGGCGGCGGGGUGCGUGGAGGGGGCCCGUCAUCCUUAAGGGCCAACAGGAAGUAAUAAUAACUUCACGGUUGGGAUUUGAACGCGUGUGUGACCUAAUAUUGUAAUUUCUCAUCAAUAUUCCGAAAAAUCCAGGCUGUCUAAUGGUGUCCGUUUUAUUUAUUUCAGUUAUUAUUGUUAUUGUUUUUACUUUUUGGCGCGUAUCUCUCAUCCAUUCAAAAAACGAAAAUCAGUUGCGAAUUUAUCAGACCCAUGACGUCUUUUUUAAACUUUUCAUCUACAAUGUUACCUUGUUUUGACAGAAAACAACAUCAUCGCCUCUAUUCCCCUGGAUAAAAUCAUGUUAUUGUUUAUUAAUGAAUUAGUUUUUAGAUAGUUUAACAAACUGGACGUAUUUCAUUUCACCAGCAUCUGCAUAAAACGUCAUAAUAAGCUCCCCAAAAUACCAUGAAACCACAUGACGUUUGGAAACAUCCCUGAUUUCUCAGCAUUUCUGACCAUAUUUCGUUUUAAAAAUAGAAAAGCAACAAUAAUACUCAUUGAAAUUCAGUCUACGUGUCUCUGAAAGCUUCCACUGGACGUAUUUUACGUAGUUUAUUCCAGUAACUCUGUUCAAAAUGUUUUGUUUUCUUUAACCAGUUUUCUUUAAGUUAAACUCAGUUAAACUGAUUAACCACACCCACAUUUUCCAGUAUUACAUCAGUAGACAUCUUCAACAACCAUUUCCCGUUGUUUAGACGGAAGUAGGCGUUUUUUCUGUCUGCUGAACGGAAGUGAUGACGCUAAUCUCAUUAGAGACUAUUUCUAAUUGUUUUUAGUUAUUUCAUUUAAAGACCACCUGUAUAAAACACCACAAGGCUUAGAAGAGGCAGAGAAAACACCAGGAGAUCACGAUGAUCAGACCGGAUUGGUGUAAACGGUUUAAUACAGAGCCACAACUUAUCCAUAAUAGAUCACUACAUAGCCUGCAGUCAUUUAAUCCAGCCUAUUACUGCCGUGUAAUCCCCUUUACAGGCGAGGCUUUAACACAACUUUCAGCACAUUGUGUCAGAUUCUAACACUUAGAUCAACUCAGGAUACAUUCAAAGGUUAGACGGAUCCAUGCUGCGUUUAAAAAUGCCCUGAAACCUCAAAAUGCUGCUUAUAAUCAAAAGUAAAAACAAACAAAAAACACCAAAACAAGCCAUGUUUCAGUUUGCGAGCAGGAAGAGAAAGAAAGUCAAAAACAUUCCCAGCCUGCUUCCAGUGUGAGCGCACAUGUGUUGGCCUGGUUUAUGGGUCAGUUUGGGCUCUAAUGAACCCGGUCAGACUCCGGCCGGCCUCAUAUGGCCACCAGCGUCCGUUGAGUCGGUGCGUCUGCACCUUUUUCCAGCCAAAAUAACGUCUGACACAAUAAAAGCGCAACGCAAAACAAACGGCGCGGAGCCUGUUGGCCAAAGAAAAAGAAAAAAAAAAGUAAUUAAGAAAAACUGUCUGACCUACAUAAAGGAAGCGCCUCGGAAGGAAGCGCAGGUUAAUAUGCUAAUAUGGAUCUGCUAAUUGUGGGGAUUUACUGUGUCGUUUCGGCGGAGGGGAGGAGGCGCGGGGGGCGUCGCUGCCUCGGUUAAGCCUUCAAGAUCUGCAGCAAAUUAAUUUCUUUUCAUGGGGCGAGGAGAGCAGAAGAGGCAGGAAACAGGUGUUGAAGGAGGAACAGACCGCUGAAGGGUCCAGGGGCGUUUCCAGAAAGUUUGGUCAGGGUGGCCAGAAAGGAAACACUGAACUCUGAAAUGUAGGUCUGUAGAAAAAAUAACAACAAAAAACCCAAAACAGAUCAAACCAAUAAAAAAAAUCCCUAAAAAAAAUGCAAUCAGGUCGUUUAAAAUCGGUAUUUCACAUGUUCACGCCUUAGUUUUUUAGCUUCUGCAACAUUUUGAAAGACUUUCCCUCUGAUAGCUUCCUAAAAAAACAAAAACAAUAAAGGUACAUUAAAAUGAACAAAUGAUCUUUUUUGAGAAAAUGUGUGACAAGAAUAAAAAAUAAAGAACAUUACAAAGCUGACUUGCCUUAGAAAUGAGUUAAGUUUAAAAAACAUUAACGAUUUAAUGGAUGUGAUACUGUAAAAGCAUAAAUAAAUAAGUUAGGGCAACCUUUUAAAACAUCUCUUAUGUACUAAAUUGUAGCUUAAUAUAAUAGCUAAAGACAGUUAAGUCCAUGUCAUUCAAGUUGUAGCAAAAACUUUUAUUAAGUUGAGCUCCACAGUUAAAGUUGAUACAAAUUAAUUGAGUUAAAGCAACAAGUGAAGUUGAGUCAGAAAAUAUGUUUUUACAGCUCAGUCCAUUUAUGGGAUACUAACUAACUAACUAACUAACUAACUAACUAACUAACUAACUAACUAACUAACUAACUAACUAACUAGUUAAAAGUCAAUAAGCUAGUUUUUAUCUUAUUUCAGGCUUCAAAUUCAUACAAAAACAACACAAACUCUCCAAAUAAUGGAAAGACAAAUACCAAAUAAUAAAUUAAUGCUUAUUACAUAUUCAGAAAUAAUAACAUACUUAUGAGGCAGGUAGUAGCCAGACUGUUUUCAAUACAUGAAAUAAAUACAAAAGGAAGAACAAAAAAAUCAUUGAAGCUCACAUUUUGCUCUUUUAAAUUUGCAUCAAAAUGAACAUUCAGUGCUGCCCCCUGUUGGUGGCGCCAUUGCUCAUGUUAAAUCUGCGUUAUUGUUAAUUUCUGUCCCUAAUUUCUCUUAAUAUCACAUUAUCGCCCAUGUUAAUCUCCUGUCAGCUGCACAUGGUAUAUUAUAUUAAUAAUCACGUGACCUGGGGUACCCCCCCACCCCCCUCCCUCCUCUUUACAACCACCAGUCAGGACUUUUUGUUUACUUCACGGACCCUCCAGAAAACAGGGACAACACGCGUCCUUUGGUUACCUGCAACAACCGAGUAUCAUUGCCGGUCUGUGUUGCCAAUUAGCGCGUUUAAUUGUUGCUUCUUUGUUGCCGUAAUUACUCGGGAAGUCAGCGGAGAGGUUGAAUCCAGGUCAAACACGUGUCAUCUGCUGCGAAUAAACAGAAGAAAGAAAAGGCCAAUCUGCUCCCAACUGACAUGGCGAUGUUUCUUCAGUUUUUUUCUCGCUUGUUCUUCUCGUCCCUGCCAGCAGAGGGCGCCACUUGGGCCAUGCAGCCCGAGGGGAGAUUAACACUCUGGUCUCUGUGAAAACACACACACACACAAGCAUCUUCUCCCACGUUCAGACCCAUGGUUCUGUGAGGAAUGACAGGGCAGACAGAGUCAAACCUUCUUGCUACGAGCUCUGUUGUUUCAUCUGUUGAGAGAAUGUCCCCAGGAAGUGGACGGACGUUUCAGAACCAGAGACAGAAAUAUGAAAUGUUAACAAGGCGCCAGAUGAAGGCCUGCAGGCGCCAAACUCUGACCGUUCCUGUUGGUGUACAGUGGAAAUGUAACUUAAACUGUAUGUGUACAAGUAUUGAAUAACUUCAUAACAAAAUACAAUAUUAAAGUCUGAUUUAAAUGCUGUGUGAGAUAAAUGUACAAAUUAUCACCAAAGGUUUGUCUGAAAUUGAAAGAUGUUUUCAUGUGAAUCAUUCAGCAAAUAAAAUACAUCUUGAAAACUGAAA